AGUUUUAUGCAGUGGAAGUAUCCUAGCCAAUGAGAUUUAUACGAGGUAUGAUUAUUGCUAAUUGAAAACACAAUAUUCCCUUAUGCCUCUAAUAUUCUCUGAAAAAAAGGAAGGAUGUUGAGAACAAGGUCCAAAAAGAA
ensembl:snRNA U4 U4 spliceosomal RNA